GGGGAAUAUUGCACAAUGGGCGCAAGCCUGAUGCAGCCAUGCCGCGUGUGUGAAGAAGGCCUUAGGGUUGUAAAGCACUUUCAGCGAGGAGGAAGGGUUCAGUGUUAAUAGCACUGAGCAUUGACGUUACUCGCAGAAGAAGCACCGGCUAACUCCGUGCCAGCAGCCGCGGUAAUACGGAGGGUGCAAGCGUUAAUCGGAAUUACUGGGCGUAAAGCGCACGCAGGCGGUUUGUUAGGUCAGAUGUGAAAUCCCCGAGCUUAACUUGGGAACUGCAUUUGAAACUGGCAAGCUAGAGUCUUGUAGAGGGGGGUAGAAUUCCAGGUGUAGCGGUGAAAUGCGUAGAGAUCUGGAGGAAUACCGGUGGCGAAGGCGGCCCACUGGACAAAGACUGACGCUCAGGUGCGAAAGCGUGGGGAGCAAAC
rnacentral:rRNA from 1 species